rnacentral:tRNA from 1 species
GGGGAUGUAGCUCAGUGGUAGAGCGCUUGCCUAGGAAGCGCAAGGCCCUGGGUUCCGUCCCCA